ensembl:lncRNA
AGAAAAAGCAAAAUACCCCUAAACUAGUUAAAUUAAAUCAUCUAUGUCUAAAUAACAGAGCUCUGAGACCUAUACAAUCCUUUAAAAACAGUUUAAUUAAUACACAUAAUGGUUUCAUUAAAUAAAACGCUAUUAAACACAUGUAAACUCAUAUGACCCCUGAACUCACAUGCACGUGCAAAGCCCGUUCACGCUCACACGCACUCACAUGGACGCGCAGGGGGAAAGGGGAGGGGGUGAGGGGAAAAGGGGAAGUGUGUGUGUGUGUGUGUGGGAGGGGGGGGGGGGGGGGGGGGGGGCAAAAAAGCUACCGGUAUAUUACUACUAAUAAUGUUAAAAAUGUUUUAGCAUCAAAAUGUAUGCAGUGCUUACGGUAAAAGUAUUCAUUAUAAAGAAUUGCCCAUUACUGCAAGUGAGUACUGAUUCACUGCAACACUUCAGUGCUGAAGGUAGAGGCAGUCAUAUUUUAAGGGGGCGGGGACAACCCCUUCAGACUGUGUGUGAGAGUCACAGAAAAAUGAAGCGUGAAACAAAGAAAGCCCACACAUCUGUUCCCUGCCUGGUGUCACUCAGAAACAGAUUCUGAAGCAACUUUCUACUCAACAAUCAAACCAGCAGCCAGCUGAGCGGAGACAUCAGAGUCUGUGCUGGGAUCUAUUUUUGUUUUGUCUUCAUGUAUAAAAACUGUAAAUGUAAACUGAGCCGAGUCCUGCUGCAGCUAAAGACCCGCUUGUUUUGCAUGCACUGCUGUAAAAUCAUAGACUUUUGUUCUUAAACUGUUUAUUGUUUAUUGUACUUGUCAUUUUUUUUUAAUUUAAUUUUUUAUAUAACUCGUGAAUAACAAACAAACACUUCCAGCUUGGUAGUUGAAGAAGUGGAUGACAGAGUGCUCAGUUUCUGUUUUUCAGCGGUGUAGUAACCUGUUCGACCGCUAUGAAUGAAGCUCAGAAAAUAGAAAACUGGAAAAUGUACUCCAGAAUUACCCGACUGAGCCAGUCCCUUGCAAUUUCUCGUUACAGUUUCUGCUUUCAUGUGUACAAGUGAAACUUCCUUAAUAUGUUUAUUAUGUGUGGAUCUGUUUAUAGAAACUGAGCAGACGGAGACUUCCCACUAAUUUACUAAUGAUUAGCUCACUUCCUGUUUGAUCUUUGCCUCUCCUUCUUCCCACUGUAUCUGAUUUCAUUCAGAUACUCAGAGCUCAUCAACAGAUCCUGUCAGGCUGUAAUUUUAAUCAGGUUUUUAAAAAUGUGGUUUUCAUUUAAUCAUUGUUUCAACUGCAUUUAAAACUCUUCUUCAAUUUUACCAUCAAUAUCUUUGAAUCACUGAAUUUAUGCUUUGUACUUUCCCCCAAACACUGACUCAUCCACUUGUUUGGCUCAGGCUUCUCCAUGUGAGAGGAAACUCAAUCCACGUGUCUUAGAAAUAUCUUGUCAUCAUACUAAUGAAAGCACGUCAUGACAAAGCUGUUUUUCUAUCGCAUUGUUACCCUGGUUUUUUUUGUUGUUGUUUUUUCAGGUGCCAAGUUUCUGUCAUUUUGUUAUUUAACAGUGAGUGUGUCACAUGCUAGUCAGGUGAAUGUAAACUAUUGUUUUGUAUGUUCCCUGUUGCUCACUGCAGCUCUCCAAGAAAAUUAAUUAUUAUCAUAAAGUUGUUUAAUGUUUAAUUUAAACAGGACAAAGCUGUGAUUUAAAUAAAUAACAAAUAUAAAUAUAAAUACUGUCCUUACAUUCAAACUGGG